rnacentral:snoRNA from 1 species
AUAUCAUGAUGAACGGUAUUUGCGUGAACAAUCUCUGAUGGACACCGAACGCUUCGAGUCCAGUAGGAUUAUAAACCUAUGUUGCCUUCCUUCUGAAUUCGCUAAUAUCUUGUUUUU